UUUCUCGUUUGUAAAAGUUCUCUACAGUUAUAUAAAAAUCGUUUAGUUUUAAACUGCAGCCAAGAGAAAGGAACUCAAACUGUGGGGGAAUUUUCCUAAGAGACUCGAGUAACAGCUAGAUUCAAUUUGAUUCAAUCCCUACCUCUGUGUUCCAGGUUGCUUGUCUUUAUAAAUCUACCGCUUUUGUCUCUUUCGUACCGGCUGUUAUACAUGUCUAACGCAGAUAGGAAGGUCCCUCACGGGAAGACAGAUCGAGAUCGUGCGCGUGAACAAGACAGCUCUCCAGGUUUGAAAACACUAGGUCUAAACAUCAGCACUUUUCUAC